rnacentral:tRNA from 1 species
UGGGACAUCGUCCAAUGGUAGGGCACGCGGCUCUGGACCGUGUAAUCGGGGUUCGAAUCCCUGUGUCCCAG